UACGAGAGCCUCGAGCGUUAUCCGGAAUUAUUGGGCGUAAAGGGCGCGUAGGCGGCGCGGUAAGUCACUUGUGAAAUCUCUGAGCUUAACUCAGAACGGCCAAGUGAUACUGCAGUGCUAGAGUGUGGAAGGGGCAAUCGGAAUUCUUGGUGUAGCGGUGAAAUGCGUAGAUAUCAAGAGGAACACCUGAGGUGAAGACGGGUUGCUGGGCCAACACUGACGCUGAGGCGCGAAAGCCAGGGGAGCAAACGGG
rnacentral:rRNA from 1 species